GCUUGCGUAGCUCAACGGUAGAGCACCGCUUCUUCAUCGGCUUUGGAUUCGAAAAGGUUUCAAGCGGAGAUCUGAGUUCAAUUCUCGGCGCAGGCA